rnacentral:rRNA from 1 species
CCGCGUGUACUGGUCCGGCCGAACCUUUCCUUCUGGGGAAUCUCAUGCCCUUUACUGGGUGUGUUGGGGAACCAGGACUUUUACUUUGAAAAAAUUAGAGUGUUCAAAGCAGGCCUAUGCUCGAAUACAUUAGCAUGGAAUAAUAGAAUAGGACGGCAGUUCUAUUUUGUUGGUUUCUAGGACCGCCGUAAUGAUUAAUAGGGAUAGUCGGGGGCAUCAGUAUUGAAUUGUCAGAGGUGAAAUUCUUGGAUUUAUUCAAGACUAACUACUGCGAAAGCAUUUGCCAAGGAUGUUUUCAUUAAUCAGUGAACGAAAGUUAGGGGAUCGAAGACGAUCAGAAGAAAAUAUGCAGGAAUGAAGAAUCAAAUUUUCAGGUAAACUUCCUAAAAACCGAACUGUUCAUUCCUGCGGGGGGUGCUUGGUCGUCCAUAGCUAAAAGCUAGUUAAAGGUUAGUUGUGCCCUCAUUGGCAGGUAAACAGCCAGGUAUUGGCAACUAUAAGAUAGUUAUACGUAGCUAAAAAUUAGUUGCCAACAGCCAAUUGUUUAGUUACAAGCACAACUAGCAUUUAGCGGUGUCACCUAAUUGAGGAGCUUCCAUAAAGGAUGAUCCACAGCAAAAUUAUAGGUAUUCAUUAUCUAUAAUGAGUCUACAGACUCUCUGGUGAUAGGCUAAGUAUUUGAUACUUAGUUCAAGAUAUAGUCGGUUCAGUAUGGCUUACAUAUUAGAAUUAACGCAGAUACCGUCGUAGUCUUAACCAUAAACCAUGCCAACUAGCGAUCGGAUGGUGUUUCAUUUUUGACCCAUUCGGCAGCUUGUGAGAAAUCAAAGUGUUCGGGUUCCGGGGGGAGUACGGUCGCAAGAUUGAAACUUAAAGCAAUUGACGGAANNGNNCCACAAGGCGUAAACAAAUUAUUAGCUGUAGCUACUCUGCGCCUAAAAGCGAGCCUGUUGAUAUNNAAACUUUAUCCGGGUCAGUGGNNNNNNNNNNNNNNNNNNNNNNNNNNNNNNNNNNNNNNNNNNNNNNCUGCGGCUUAAUUUGACUCAACACGGGAAAACUCACCAGGUCCAGACAGGAUAAGGAUUGACAGAUUGAGAGCUCUUUCUUGAUCUCUUGGGUGGUGGUGCAUGGCCGUUCUUAGUUGGUGGAGUGAUUUGUCUGCUUAAUUGCGAUAACGAACGAGACCUUANCCUGCUAAAUAGCCAGGCUAGCUUUUGCUGGUCGCAGGCUUCUUAGAGGGACUAUCGGCUCAAGCCGAUGGAAGUUUGAGGCAAUAACAGGUCGGAUAUUCACAGGCUUGUUUACUUAUAUGUUCAAGCUAUGAAGCUUGGAACGCUGCUGGUAUCGAGGACAUUGUCUUAAAUGACGAUCGAUUCGGUGAUGAGCAUCUACAAGUGCCAUCUCAACGCGCGGUAGGCAGCGGGGUUCUUCCUAGGAAGACCUUGAGGUACGUGCUGGAUGUGCGGUCUCUAAGAUCGCCGUGCAUUGUUAGGUGUGAUGGCCAAAGAAUGCACAAAAAGAGAAAGACAUGAAUUUUUAGACCAGACUCGAAAGAAUAAGAAUGUGAACACUGGAGGCCCAACCUAUAUGCUUAACAUUCUUCCUGUUUUGGUCUUCUAGUUCUAGGUCUAUAGUUCCUAUUCUCUUUCACGAUUACGCUGUGAUGCCCUUAGAUGUCCUGGGCCGCACGGUAC